CAUUUGCAGGUGGGACUGAUUGGACGAAAGGGAUAAUGUAUCACACACCACAGCUCCUGAUGCCACUAGGAUGAAGAGAUAUUGGAGAGGAAGAGGAUAACUCCAAUGAAGGCUCUCUGGAUGGAUAGAAGGACAGUACUCCUGCCUCCUUUACUGAGAUGAUAAACACCAUGAAUGUUACUAAAGAGUGGAAUCACAGGUCCAUCAAAUGCUGAAGACAUUUUGAAAGGUAGAAGCCAGUAUAUUCUCCCUGCCUGAGUCUGAUCUAGUCUGCCACUUGGAUUUCCUUUCUCCAUAGCCACCCUGAACAAACCAAGGACUGCUUUUCUGGUAUGAGUCAGGAAUACCUAAACAUGCACCACAUGAGCUAUUUUCGGAGUUCUCAGUUGCAAUAUGCCUUCUAACAGAGGAGCAAUGUCCACCCCAGAAAACCAUGACAGACAGUUGUAGAUACUGAAAUAGAACUCCUUUCCUUCCUUUCUCCCUCUCUCACACAUAUAUGUUUUAAUUUAAUUAUAAUAAAAAUAAAACUAUGCUUU